rnacentral:rRNA from 1 species
AUUGAACGCUGGCGGCAGGCCUAACACAUGCAAGUCGAGCGAGCGGCGGACGGGUGAGUAAUGUCUGGGAAACUGCCUGAUGGAGGGGGAUAACUACUGGAAACGGUAGCUAAUACCGCAUACCAUCAGAUGUGCCCAGAUGGGAUUAGCUAGUGGGUGGGGUAACGGCUCACAUAGGCGACGAUGCCUAGCUGGUCUGAGAGGAUGACCAGCCACACUGGAACUGAGACACGGUCCAGACUCCUACGGGAGGCAGCAGUGGGGAAUAUUGCACAAUGGGCGCAAGCCUGAUGCAGCAAUGCCGCGUGUGUGAAGAAGGCCUUCGGGUUGUAAAGCACUUUCAGCGGGGAGGCGUUACCCGCAGAAGAAGCACCGGCUAACUCCGUGCCAGCAGCCGCGGUAAUUC